rnacentral:lncRNA from 1 species
UAACAAGAUUACAUGCUUCUCUUACAAUCUACACCAAACCGAAUGUGAUAAUGUGACUCCAGUAUAUGGGACUUCAUGAAGUAGCCUAGAUUGGUAAUUUAGUAUUUUUCCAUCAAUCCCUCUCAGUUCCUCUCCCCUACCCCACUUUCUUUCCCUCCCUCUUUCUCUCAUACUCAGCCUCACCCUCAACCUAACCAUCUGAGCAUGGUAUUAGAGUACUGCUGCUUCUCUUUCUCUCUCUCACCCUAAAAAUCAGAGCAGAUUAUAAGAGUAGUUCUGUCUUCUUCUUCUUCUUCUUCUUCUUCUUCUUCUUCUUCAUCUCUUUCUUACACCCUAACAAUCUGCACAUGGCAUGAGAAUCCUGCUGAUGAUUCUCUCACACCCUAAUAACCUGUAUGUUAAUAAGACUAUUUCCAUCAAUUAAUAACUCUCCCCUUCUUUUCUUCUUCAGUAUUUUUGUAGGCAAACAAGAAGAAUAUAAUGAAAAAGGCACCUAUAAAACUGCUACUCUGGCACACAAAAAAGUACAGAAAGAACAAAAGCUCCCAUCCUCCAAAGAAACUUUCGAUUACCAAACAAAGAUAAGCCCUUCCCUUUCUACUUUUACUUGUCUUAAGGUUAAAUAUGAACAGCUAAAAUCCUAAACUGCUCUUUAUGAUUGCUGCAUUACACUUGUUAGCAUCACCUACUGACAAAGCAUCAUAUAGAUGGGCCAUUUUGAAAUGGUUCCAUUACAAUCAGUAAUCUCUCAUGUAAUUGGGAAAGAUCCUUUAAAUUCUCAAAGUUUGAGCAGCUCAGUAGAAAGGCUUUUAUAGUUGGAAAAGGAAGCCUACUCAGGUUUAUCUCUUGAAAAUUUUGCAGCUUUCAGUAAAUUUUUGGGGAUGCUAAUCAAAGGGUUUGAGGAGGAGAUUUUGGCUUUGCUAAGAAAAAUGGAACCUAGAAAAAUAAAAAUGAAGGCUUCAGUCUGUAAAAGAUCACAAGGCUAUAAUGUCAUCAUGCAGAGAAAGGGAGUUGAGAAAAUGUUUUGGAAUGUUAGAGGAGUUAACAAUGAGGAGAAGAGGAAGGUUAUUAAAUCUAUGAUUCAUUCUCAGAAUGUGUACUUGGCAUGCCUAUGGUUAAACAAAGGUGGAAGCUAUCUUGAUGGCCUUGGUCAGAAGCUUAGGGGUGGGCAAGUUCUUAGAGUGGAGUGCCCUUGAGGCAACAGGAGCAGCUGGAGGGGUGGUGGUCUUCUAGGACAACAGAGUGUUGGAGAUCCUUGACAUGGAGAUUAGGUUCUUAUUCAGUCUCUUGUUCAUUCAGAUGCAAUGAGGACAAUUUCACUUGGGUGUUUUCAGGGAUUUAUAGCCCUAUGGACGGGAGAGAACUUGAAGAUGUUGGGAAGCAAUUGGGGGUCCAUUAGGAGGCUAUGGGAAGGUGUAUUAGGAGUGAUUUCAAUGUAAUUAGAUUCUUGAAGGAAAGAAAGAAUUGUUUCAGAAUCUCUUAGUCCAUGAGACAAUUCUCUGACGAUAUAGAAGAUUUAUCACUGGUUGAUCUCUCAUUGACAGGGGGCUCUUUCAUAUGGUGUGGAGGGCUGAAUAGAAAAUCAAUGUCAAGAAUUGACCAUUUCCUAAUCAUGGCUGAUUGGGAGGACCACUUCACAAAUACAUCGCAAUUCCCAUUGCUGAGGCUAGUGUCUGAUUAUUCCUCCAUCUUAAUACAGGGAGGAGGGAUAAAAAAGGGAAGGACCCCUUUUAGAUUUGAAAACAUGUGGCUUAAGUUAGAGGGAUUUAAAGAUGUGGUGAAGGGCGGUGGGAAAGGUAUAAAUUUAGUGGAUCCUAGAGCUUCAUUUUGGCUUCAAAGUUGAAAGUGUUAAAGGACCUUAAAACUUGGAAUAAAGGAGUCUUUUGGAAUAUAGCAACUUGAAAGGUUUGUGCCUUGGGUCAAAUUAGCUACUAGGAUAGAAAGGAGAGGGAAGGACUGCUCUCUUUGAAAGAUAAGGAAGCUAGAAGGGUGGCAUUAGAAGAGUUUAAUCAUUAGGCCAUUUUAAAGAAAACCUCUUGGAGACAAAAAUCAAAGGAGGUGUGGUUGAAGGAAUGUGACAAAAAUAUGAAGUUUUUUCACAAAAUUGCCAAUGCUUGACACAGAAGAAAUUUCAUAAGGAGAAUUAGGGUAAAUAGAGAGUAGGUGGCAAAGGAUGUUGAGAUUUCAAAAAGGGUGGUGAAUUAUUUUUAACUCCUUUUGUCGGAUUCAGGAGGAGAGUCAAGACUGGAUAUAGAUAGCAUGUCUUUCAAAACGUCAAGCAAAGGAGUAUUCCAAUUGGCUGGAACUGGAAGAUAUAUUCAAUGAGAGGGAGAUUCACGAUGCUAUUAUAGGGCUAAAUGGGGACAAAGCCCUUGGACUUGAUGGCUUUUCUCUAGCAUUUUGGCUGCAUUAUUAGGAUUGUGUUAAGGACGAGGUCUUGGCCUAUUCAGGGAUUUUAUUUUUUCUUUUGCAAUAUGUACCUUUGAGAAAAGUCUAAAUACUACUGUUUUGUUUUGAUCCCAAAAAAAGGUGGAGUUGAAGAUUUAAAGGAGUUUAGAUCAUUAGCCUUGUAGGUAGUCUACGCAAAAUUUUAACUAAACUUUCGACAAAAUAGACUAAAAAAAAAAGGAAAUUAGGAAAGUGGUGUCAAACUCUAAUGUGUUUGCAGAAGGGAGGCAAAUCCUAAAUGCAGUUUUAAUCACCAAAAAAACUAUAUAUUCAAGAUUGAGGAGUCGUAGAGAGUUGUAUGUAAGUUAGACUUUGAAGAAGUCUAUGAUGGUGUAAAUUGGAACUUCCUAUUAGGGUGAUGCAAAAAAUGGGCUUUAGGUAGAAAUGGAUUGAUUGGAUUCAAUUUUCCUUGUUAUUUUUUUUUCUAUAAUCGAGAAACCUUCCAUGGCCAAGCCCUUAGGACUCUCCAUGGAGACCCAAACUCGAGGUGAUGACCGCCCCGCAACAACUAGCACCAAAUAAAUUCAAGGUAUCAUCAGUGGUAGGAUUCGAACCCAGAACCAUGUGCCACUUACUAGGACCACACUUCCCAGUGUUCGCCUUAACCAACUGGGCUACUCUGACAAGUUGGAUUCAGUUUUCCAUUUGAAUGCCAAUAUUCUUAGUUUUGGUAAAUGGAGUUCCUUUUAGCUUUUUCCAAAGCACAAGGGCUUUGAGAGAAGGUGACCCUUUAUCCCUGUAUCUAUUUGUGUUAGUGAUGGAGGAUCUUAGCAUUCUCUUGAGAAGGGCUUGAGAGGGUGGCUUCAUUUUGAAUCUCAAGGUAGGAGGGGGAGGAGGUGAAGGAGUGGAGAUUUCUCACCUCUUAUUUAUUGAUGAUACCCUAUGUUUUUGUGAACUUUGUUUAGGUCCAUUGAUCCAUAUAGCUUGGGUUUAGCUUUGGUUUGAGACUUCUUCAAGGAUAAAAUUUAACUUAAACAAAAGCAAACUAGUUCCAAUAGGGGAGGCCUCUAAUGUGGAGGAGCUUGCAUUGGUGUUAGGUUGCGAAGUAGGAAAGUUGCUUGUCAGUUACUUAGGCUUGUCAAUUAGAAUUAAGCCUCCUUCCUUGUAAUGUCACAAGUAACCUCUCCACCUCCUCCACCUCCCAAUCAUUGAAGGGCCUAAAGAACCUAGGACUCCAACCCCCUUCCUUGCCCAUUGAGUCCCACAACUCCACUAACCAAGCCUCUUUAGAAGUCGCUAAGGCAUACAAAGAGGGGAAAGAAUCACAAACUUGGAGCCAAUAACGAGGUGAAGUUUAAGGCUCUAUUGACGUUUUUGUAUAAGAGAUUGAGACCUAUUUUUCUAGAUGCACGAUUUAGUGUAAGAAUCGAAAUUUUUGGAAAUUUUAAGAAAAUUACCCUUUGAACUUUUAAAGUUCUCAUGAUACAUAACAUACGAAGAAAAAGGAGAAUAUUUGAAAAUGUACUAAAACUCAAAAGAUCCAUAAAAUUCACUGUUGACAAAUGAGAACAGUUCUCUGACACUAGAAUGCAAUUUGAAUUCUGUUUAAGAGAGAGGUAAUCAUCGAUGACUCAAUUAUCAGGUAAGAACAAAACAAGAGUGAAUGUAGACACAGUUCAACAGCACAGAAAGUGAAAAUCUAUGUGGCUUUGACAGAACCUAAGUCUAAUUUGUCCAGACUCCUAUGACAAUAGUUCUUUCAUUUCUCUCCCCAAUCAGAAUUAAAGUAGCCUCCAAGACCAGAUCCUAGGCAUAGCCUAAUAUUUUUGAGUUAUACAGUUCAAAACCAAGCACAUGAGGACAUUAUCCCCAUAACAUCUAAUGUCUAUGCUCAUAAUAAACAGAAAAAGUGAGACAAUCAGCUGAUUUUCUUCUUCAACUAAACAUUUGCCUACCUUUAAGAAGACACAUAGAUAAUAUAACUAGAUCUUAAUGUUUUAUGAGUACAUCAAGAGCAUUUCCUUUUUCAAGUGCUUACCAUAUCACACUGCAAAAGUGCCCAUAAAAAAAAACCAUAUUCCAUUGCAAGUUGGCAGAUAAAUUUAACCAUGGAGCUUUCUUUGAUCACCAAUCCAACUGAUAACACACAAUUUAUGUCAUUUGUUGAACCACUAAUUUACUGAUGAUCAAAGUAGAUUUUCAGAAGGAAGCACCAUCAAAAUUUCCUCACAUAAAAAUAAACAACUUCAAACAGAGGGUUGGCCUACAGUGGGCCUAGAAACUGGUAGAUAGUGUCUCGAUUUUCAAAACUCCUUUGUUAUAUUGAUAGUAAGGAGAAUAGGGCUAAAGAAGGAAUAUUAUGGUAUUUUUUUGGGGUAGUAUUCUGCUUAGCCUUACAUAUGUUAAAUGUGGAAAUAUUUUAUCUCAUGAAAGUCAAAGUAGCUUGAGAGGGCAUGAGAUAGUCGCUUUUGUGAAGAGAAUUUCUUAAAUAACAGUUCACUUCUUGAUUUAAGUUCUGGCUCUUAUUCAUGAUGGAGAUGGAUGAGAGCUAUUCAACAUCCACAUAUUUACUGGUAGAAAGUAACAACAGAGUCAAAUUUUCUAGACAGCAUGUAGACUUAAUACAUAAGAAUCUUAACAACAUUGAUACUGUGGAUACACAAAAUAAACUAUUUUCCCAAACUAGGGAUUUAAUUAGACAGUAUUAACAUUCAGAAAAGUGCCAAAAUGAUUAGCACCCAUAUGGUUACUGAGAAAUGAAGGGUGAGAUAUGCAAAUCUGAAAUCCUACACCUGACUUUGGUAUACAUGAUUAUGUUUAGAAACCAAACCUAUAUUUAUUUUCGUCCAAUUUAUAAGGCAAUCAAAUGAAGCAUCAAUAUCCCUCUUCAUUUGAAUAUAAGAAAACUGUCAAGAUAGCUGAUUUUGGCAAAGAAAAGUAUAUCCAAUAGGCUAUCAGGAAUAGGGUGCAAAGAUGGGAACAAAGCAGCAAGAUCCUAUAACUAAAAGCAUUUAUGGAAAUAUAUAAAGAGUGUUUAAAGAAAAUCAAGGACACUCUAUGAAAAAUACCUGCUCGGGUGUCUUUUUAUGUCUAUCUGCGAUUUCUGCAACAACCGACAAUUUCAACAUCGGCCCAUGAACUGAUCUUGACCUCCUGAAUGAUAUCCGGGGAGUUCCAGGUUCAUCUUCUCCACCUGAUCCACUAUCGGAUGGUCCAGGACCAGAAGCUGGUACUCCUAAAGGUGUGUGAGCAGAUACAUGGAUGCCCUUUGAUUGACAAAACUUCACGAGCUCAUCUUGCCUCCAGAAAGGAUGCAAUUCUGCCUAAUGAAAGCCAAUAAUAGAUCAAUCAAGAACCUUAAAUUAAAGGCCAGAACAUCAACAGGAAGAUAAAAAGGAUGAGAGGGCUUACAUGUUUGAUAUGCCAGAAAAAAACAUAAAAAAUAAAAGGUCAGAGGCAAGGAUUAAGUAACCUAAACAUUGAAGUUUCACAUUCCUAAAAUUUUGUCUCAAUAGAAGAACAAUUAAAAAAUGACAAAUUUUGCUGAAAAUAUUUGACGCUAUAACAGAGUUAUAACUUAUAUAUAAAUAUAAAAAUUACAAAUAAACAUCCUGUCGGGGAAAAAUGGCAUGGAAAUGCAAAACAACAUAAUGCAAAUAAGGUUACCAUUUUGGUCCUUUACAAAUUAUAUAAAAAAGUAUCAUUCAAUCAUUGAUUCACAUAUUAGUUUUCAAUGCCAAAAAACAGUUGGAAAGAAGUUGAGAAAUAGUACAUUCCUUGCAGAUAACCCCAAAUCCUGAUAAAAGAAUUGCUGAUACACAGCCUCAAGUUUUAGAUACCCUAAAACAUUAAAUAUCAUAGAGAUUAAGUCCAAACAAAUUUCAAGGAGGGAAAAAAAAUUAUUUCCAGUUCUUUCUCAUGUAAGAAAGAUGAAGUUUCAAAUUUCAAAUAUAAGGAAAGCCUCUAGUGAUGAUGAAUAUCUUUGGCUGAUGCCAUAGCUGGUUUUCUUUAGUGCCAGGAGACUUCUGCCAUCACACCUUCCAUAAGAAGAACCGACAAGCUCAGACAGAUUACGCAGUCCUACUAAUCCCACCAUGGAUUUCUCUAUAAAGCAUUGCCUAUAAUUAUAUAUGCUAACCACUCAAGUGGGCAACAUUUUGUAAUCAAAAGGACCAGUGAAACUCAUUUCCUAGUCUCUGAUCAAUUUUGCACUGUCUCUGAGGAGGAAAUUAUGUUCAGUUCCUUGGAUGACUUCCACAUUUAGUGAGUGAAAUUUUCUGAAAUUGCAGCCAAUCAAGAAAAGGUCUGAACCAAAGGGUGGGUACCCACCACCCAGCUACAUUGCAAGUAAAGACAACAAGCUAAUUAGAAAUGUUUGUAUGAUGUUGUCCACAGAUGUGGUUAUGCCUACUACUGUAUUGAACACCUCCAGGAAGAGUUACCAACAGUAAUUUGCCAAGUUCAUCAUGACAUCAAGGUAAAAACUCCAAAAGGUGAUGCAUUCUCCAUGAGGGGGAUGAAUUGUCAGAGGUUUGAGAUCUGAUAUAAGCACCUAAUUUGAAAUAUAUUCAUGACUAUGAAAGCUGGUUCAGAUGCGAGCAUAUUGUUAUAGUUUUAUCACUCUUUAGGCCAAUAUUUGUUGGCAAGAAAAUGAACAUAGGGAGAUAAAAUUUCACCACAUCUUUGAACCAUAGCUACCAAUAGACAGGGUAAGGAUUCUGCUUGUUCUCAAAACCCGGCAUCUUUAGAAGGAUGGGGUUGGUAAUAAAUCAAUAAAUUGAAAGUUCUUAUGCCAAAAUAUGCUAAAAUAGAUAAUUAAAAGAGAGCGAGGAUGAGUAAAGUCAUAUGGACUCACCUGAUUUACCGCGGGUACAAUCUUUGCGAAUUUAAGCAGUUCCUUAAUCUGCUGAACCCCAAAAUUGCUAACUCCAAUAGCUCGAACCAGACCCAACUCAAUCAGACCCUCCAUAGCUUUCCAUGCUUUCUUCAAUCGGUUCAAAAACUGCCUAUGGUCAUUUCCAGAAUUGGAAGGAGGAUCCGUAGCAUCACCAAACGCUGUAAUGUCUGGCCAAUGCAUCAAAUAGAGAUCUAAGUAUGUAACUCCUAAGUUCUUAAGAGAAACUCUAACAGAAUUCUCAAUUUUAUUGAGCGAAUUCAUCGUGCAGUACAGCUUAGAAGUCAAAAAAACAUCCUCCCUCUUCAGUGAACCAUUGAAAGCCUCAGCCAGUGCUUCCCCGACUUCAACCUCAUUCCCAUAAAGAUGGGCACAAUCUAUUUGACGAUAACCCUCUGACAACGCCCUUUUUACAGCUUCAACACAAAGGUCCCCUCCACUCUGCCAUGUCCCCAGACCUAUAGCAGGAAUUUUUGCUUUGGUAUUCAACAGGAAGUAGGUUCCUGGUGCCCCGCCCUUUCCUUUCAUCCCCUCAAGCCUUUUGGGAUGAACAAAUACGCACACAAGAUAUAGAUACUGAUCAACCAAAGAAAUCACAGUAAUGCAAGAGCCAGAGAAUCACAAUUCCAACAACGCCGGAACAAAACUGUGUUCACAAACAAAAUCCAAGGAAGAUACAGUAACCCAAAAUCUCAGAAAUGGGAUUGAGAAGCGUAAAUUCAAAAAAAACAAAAACAAAAGCAAAAACAUUAAUCAAAUAGCACCAAAAAGUAAUCCAGCAGUGUGAACGAAAGAAGACAAUUCAGCGUUCCCAGUUGAAAACAUUACUAGUUCUACUGCUAAAAAGCACACCUUCUGUUUGGUGAUUUAUCUGAAUGAAACCUCACCAAUCAAACACAAACCCAAAGUAUAAUUCAUUGACUGUACAUCAAAUUGGAACCCCAAAACAGAAAGAUCAAAGUAAACAAACAAAAGCACACACGACCCUCUAUUUAUUUCCAGGAAAUUACCAAACCCAGAAGACUUGUUCGCAAAUAAAAUAAUUGUAUUCAAAUGGAAGGGCGUGGUCAACAACGGCAGCAGAGAGCAGAGAGAGAAACAAACACGAAACAAAACCACGAGACCCCCUCUCUCUUGGAGAAUCGAUAUCAAUAAUUAAGAGUAUUUUAAUACAAAUAUGAAGAAAAUAAAGAAAGAAAACCAAAGAUGAAGUCAGAGAAAGAGACAAUAAUUUUCAAGGCAGCGCACCUAACAGAGAAGACUCCAGAUCCAACAACCACCUACCCAACUUAUAACUACAUUCAUUGACCAGAGGGAGGAUACUCCAAUGUGCAGAGUUUCAACGUGUUGAGUGAAAAAUGAGAAGAAUAUUCUCUGUUUUUCUAGGGAAAGCGAAGGGCUUUCUCGUUUCAACCGUUGGGAAAAUGGUUUUGGGUUUUGGGUUUUUGGGUUUUUGAGCAGUGUGAGGCUUUUCGAUUGAUUUUUUUUUUUUUUUUUUUUUUAAGCGUUGGCAUGCAACAUAUCAUGUCAAGUUACUGUCACGUAUAUGUUAGAAAUUUCUACGAAAAUCAUAUUUUCAAUAUAUUUAUUUAUUUAUUUAUUAUGAAAAUGAUGUUUUCAUUCAAAGAAUAUUGGAGAGGUUUUUUCCUUUUUUUUUUUUUUUUUUUUUUGUUUCUAUCAUUUCCAAUGUUUUGGUUUUGGCCACCAAGCAUGUUUUAAUGUUUUUAAAAACAAUAGGAUUAUGCAUUUUCCUAAUUUCAUAAAUUAUUUGUUUAUUAUUAAAAUUCCAGGGUGAGUUGGGUUCACCAACAUCUAAAUUUUGAAUUAUUUUUUAAGAAUAAAAUUUAUAUUUGAUUAAAAUUGAUAUUUUUAUUUAGAAUAUUUCAUGUAGAAAAAAUAAUUAUCUAAUUAUUAUUAUUAGUAAGAAAAGAAUGUCAAAGAUUUACAUAUUAACUCAAAAGAAUUUGACUUUGUUGGGUUGUUAGAUUCCCAUAAUUAAAAAUAUUCCAUAUAAAAAAUUAAUUGUCUAAUAUUAAAUAUUCAUAUUCCUAUAAAAAAAAUUCCAUAAUAAGAUAUUUCUUUUAUUAUUAUGAAAGUCCUUCUAAAGAAUAUAAAGCAUGAAAAAGUAAUUAGGUAAAUUCAUUGAUCAUAUUUUUCAUAUGUAAAUUAUGAAUUUGGAAUGUUAUUAAUGUGUUUUAUAUGUCUUUAAAUAUUUUUUUAAAAAUAAUUUGUUUUUAUAAUAAUUUAUUUUUAAUUAUUCAUAAUUGUUCAAUUAGUUUUCAAAAUAGCUCUUCAAAAAUAAGUGAAAAUAAUUAUAAAUAAUUAAAAUAUAUUCUCAUAAAAAAUUCUAUUUUCAUAAUAAGUUUUCUAAAGAUCUCUAGUGUGUUUGGAGUUUGAAAAAUAGUUUUUUAUUUUAAAAAUAGAAAACCAUUUUUAAAAAACGUUUCCAAACAAAUUUUUAUUUAUUUAUUAAAUUUAAAAUCUAAAGAUAGAUUGAGGCACCUAAAGUGAGAAGAAUAAAAAGAAAAUAAGGGUGACAAGGCAAGAGAACGGGAAUAAGAAAAGAAGAAAUGAAGAUAGGGUUAAAUUUUUUAAGAAACGUGGAUUUGAGGAAAAAGAAAUAUUUUUAUAGGGAUUUCACACAUAAUGACGGAGCUAGUUAACGCCUAGGUGGGGCAUAGGGUUUUGAACUUUGACUUUAAAUUUAAAUGGAAAGUAUUUUUUUCAUUACAUUAUAUACCAUUAUUUCUUCCUCUUUUGUCCCCUAAAAUAAUUAUUCUAUUUGUCCCUCUCUUAGAGCACAUUUCUACCUCUGCCGCUUCACACAUCAAUUUAAUUUUUUUUUUUUAAAUGGAAUUAUAUAUGAACCCAUAUUGUUUGUUUCCAACAUCCUUAUCUCUUUCCCCAAUUUUUUCUUUCAUCCACUUACCCAAAUCAAUUAUACCCAAAAAGGAGUUUCAAGUCAUUUAAGUCUUAUUCUUCCUCCUUUAAAUCCCAUCUUCCACAUUUAUUCCAAUCCAAAAAUCUCAUUUUUUUUUUCAAAAAUCUCAUUUUUUUUUUCAAAAAAAAAAAAAGAAAGAAAAAAUCCCACAUACUUGAUUAAAAUCUCAUAUUCAUAGUUGAAGUUUUCAUUAAAGGUUUGGAAGAAUAUCCCUAUUUAUUUUCAUUUUCAAAUUCUUGAUUAAAAUUUUGAUUUUUUUUCAUUAUUGAAUUAUUAUCUUUUAUGAAUUUCUACAAUAAUUUGAAUUUGGAAUGAUAAAUAGGUGGAUAUGUAGUUGUUACUUGGUGCUUGUAUCUUAGACAUAUGUAUACCAUCUUAGCAUUGGUAUGUUGGAUAGUUUGGCUCUGCCUGAUGCUUAUAUAUUUAGUGUUAGCCCCUUAGCCUCUUGAUCCGAUGUUGAAGGAAUGGGCCUCAUGGGUAGGCCUUGCACCCAUGGGAGCCUAGACGGAGAGCAAGGAUGGCUAGGAGGUUUGGUGGUUCAAACCUAAGGAGGCCAUGCGCAAGCCAAACACGCACCACGAGCGAGCCAGACACGUACUAUGCGCGCACUACGGAUGAGCCAAACAGGCACCGCGCACGCACCACGGGCAAGCCAAACAGGCACCGCAGGCGAGCCGCGCGCGCACCAGGCAUAUAUUGACUAUGGAGCUGGUACAGAUGGAGGGUAAGGUUAUUUUAGAAUAUAAUUUAUAAUUAUUUAAAUAUUUCAUUAUGUCUCCUUAAGCAUGUAUGAUGUCUCCUCUAAACAUCUUGAGAAUGGGUCUAUAUUGCUCUUUAAGGGAGAGGGGGGGUAGGUGACUCAAGGGGGCAUUAAGGGAAGGCCUUAACCGCACCAAGGGGGCACCAUGGCACGACCUUGACCGUAUCAAGGGGGCACCAUGGCACAACCUUGGGCGUGCCUAGGACACACGGAUGGCACUUAAGCACGCACACAUGGGCUCCAUGACAUGUGUGGCGUGCACCCCGUUGCAGCAAUGGCAUGAGGCCUAAUACGACCUAUCUUCUCCCCGCACAGGCACGAAGGUGUCUAAGUCUUGUGCAGCGAGCUAGUUGGGAAAGCCAUGGGUGCAAUGCCAUGGACUGAUGGGGCACUAGACAGUCAGCUGACUCGCACCCAUGAUGCUUACGCAUGGCAUAAGGGUGCAAUGCCUUGUGCACCAAGAGGGAAUAGCCAUGGGCGCAAUGCCAUGGCUCGUUGCUAUGGAGCUUGACCUGAUAAUGGGAGCUAGACAUAUGCCCAGGCCAUGGGCACCUCGACAUGGCAUGGGCUGACACAUUAGUGUGAGGAAGGCAGACUAAUGCACCAGACACUUGGUUAGCUGGUUGGUGCAUGUUGCUGGUUCAGAUGGCAGCUUGCUAGUGGCAGCAAGAGUAUGAUCAGGAUAGUAGUCAGCUACAAAGGACUAGCAGAUGGCUGCGAACUAAUGGUUGGUGCAAAAAGACACCUUGGACUAAAGAAGUGUCUCCAACUAGGUGGUUACACGAGUAGUUCACUAGCUGGGUGGUUAUACAAGUAGUUUUGGGCGGUUAUGGCAGUUGCAUUACCACCAGACUGGCUCCUUGGUUUUGAAUUUUGAAAUUGUAACUUGCAGGUUUGUCAUUUAAAAAUGAGUCUCCUGGAUCUCUGAGACAGAGCAUGAGAGCAUAGGAUGUGUCUUUGAAUGCUUAAGGGUUUUAAGCAUUAUUCUCUGACUCAAGCCAAGUGUUGAGACACUUUGGAAAACGAUUUUGUAUCUUGUAAUGAGUGAAAUAAUACAAGUUGAGAAGGGUUCCCAUAAUUAUUGUGUCAUAUUACUUUGCUUUUCUAAGGGCUGUGAAGAAAGGUUGGCUAAGGAAAGGUCCUUAGCACCGCACACUCGAAAAAAAAAAUUAACGCAAUUAUCAAGGGUGUGACAAGUGGUAUCAGAGCUUGUACUAGAGAUGGUUGGUGGUAGCGCAAUGGAAGCCUUGUGGAAAAGGAUUGCUCGGAUAGAAUAAACAUUAGGAGAAUGGCCAUGUGAGGAUGGCAUUGUGGCUUCAUGGGUAGAGCACACUAUGAGAGAAAUUCAAGUGGAGAAAAGUUUGUUGGAGAGCCAUGACAAAUUCUUUGAGGAGAAAUUUGAUGGCUUGAAAAUAAAGAUUCAGUCCCUCAUAUAUGACUUCAAAGGCGCCCUGCAGUCUUACGGAGAAGACAUCGCAGACUCAAGAAGACUGUGUUGCAGGGAUGCUCUUCAGGCCUUGAAGCCCCUCCCAAAGCUCGGGUCCUAGAGCUUAAGGGCUUCAAUGGUAACAGGAACGCGAAGGAGUUGGAGAAUUUCUUAUGGGACAUGGAGCAGUUCUUCAAGGCUGCUCAUGUUCCUAAUGGCGAGAAAGUGUCCAUUACCAGUAUGUAUCUAACUGGGGAUGCCAAACUAUGGUAGUGAACAAGGAUGGAGGAUGAAGCAAAGUCUAGAAGGCCUCAAAUCACCACUUGGGAGACUCUGAAGAAGAAAUUGAAAUAUAAAUUCCUCCCCACCAACACUGCCUAGGUGGCCAGGGAAUCAUUGAAAAGGCUUAGACAUACCAGAUUAGUGAGGGACUAUGUCAAGGAAUUCAAUUCCAUGAUGCUAGACAUAAAGAACAUGUCAAAUGAGGACAAGCUUUUCAAUUUCAUGUCUGGAUUGUAAGGGUGGGCUCAGACGGAACUUAGGAGGCAAGGAGUUCGUGAUCUCCCUACUGCCAUGGCUGCAGCAGAUUGCUUGGUGGAUUACAAGAUGGGUGGCGCCAUCUCCACCAUGCAGAAACAAAAGUUAGAAGGGGGUAAGAAGACUAAGGUUGAGGGCAAGACUUCUAAGAAGUUAUGGUGGAAGAAACAUAAUAAGAAAACUGUUGUAGGGGGAAAACCAGUGGAGAAGACCACAAAAUUUGUGCAACAGACCACCCAGAUGGCAAUGAUGUUUCAUUUACAAUGGCCCUUACCGAACUAGAGACUACCCUAAAAGAGAGAAACUCUCGGCCCUUGUGACUGCAGACAAUAAAGGAGAAUCUGACUCAAAGACCCCCCCUAGAGUUAACCCACUGCAACUCCUAAAUGUAAUUCCUGGUGAGACCCCAGUCUAAAAGUCCCUAAUGCAUGUUCAUGCGGUUGUGAAUGGUGUGCAGGUGAAGGCUUUGGUAGGCAGUGGUGCCACUCACAAUUUCUUGACCACCAGAGAAGCAACCGGGUUGGGAUUAAAGUUGGAAAGAGGAUACUAGUCGAAUCAAGGCAGUCAAUAGCAAAGCCCAUAAGAUCCAAGGGGUAGCCAAGAAUAUCCUCAUGCAAGUUGGUGACAGGAAGGGCACGUUCAACCUACUUUGUGUGCCCUUGGACGACUUCAAUUUGAUCAUUGGUGUAGACUUCCUUUUGAAGGCUAAAGUGGCCUUGAUCCCACAUUUGGGUGGAUUUGUGGUACUAGAAGAGAAAAAACCCUAUUUGGUACAGGCCUUGAGGGCGAAGGAUGGUGGUAAGAGUCAACCUGAGAUGUUGUUUGCUAUCCAGUUGAAAAAGGGAUUGAAGUAGGGUCAGGAUACCUAUGUUGUAGCCUUGAUCGAGAUCAAGAAGGGACAGUCUGUGGAAGUCCCUGAUUCAGUGGUCAAAAUCUUAAAGGAGUUCAAAGAUGUAAUGCAUGUAGAACCCCCCAAGAAACUGCCACCCUGACAACCUAUUGACCACAAGAUUGAAUUGUUGCCUGGAGCAAAGCCCCCGGCUCAAGUGCCUUACAGGACGUCUCCUGCAGAAUUGUUGAAGCUACGCAAACGAUUGAGGGAAUUGUUGGAUGCAAACCUGAUCCAGCCCUCAAGGGCUCCAUAUGAUGCACCAGUGCUAUUCCAAAAGAAGCAUGAUGGCUCUCUACCCAUAUGUGUGGAUUAUAGGGCUCUCAACAAGGUGACCAUAAAGAACAAAUACCGAUCCCCUUAGCAGCCAAGUUAUUUGACAGAUUGUCAAAGGCCACUUAUUUCACCAAAUUGGACCUAAGAUUGGGCUAUUGGCAAGUGUGGAUUGCAGCAAGAGAUGAAAGGAAAACAACCUAUGUAACUCGGUAUGAUUCAUAUGAGUUUUUGGUAAUGUCCUUUGGACUGACUAAUGCCCCUGCUACUUUUUGCAAUUUAAUGAAUGAUGUCAUGUUUGAUUAUUUGAUGCAUUUGUGGUAGUAUACCUAGAUGAUAUUGUGGUGUACAGACAGACUCUAACAGAACAUGAAAGACAUUUGAGAUUAGUGUUCCAAUGAUAGAGGGAGCAUAGGUUUCAUGUAAAGCUAAAGAAAUUUGAGUUUGCUCAGGAAGAUAUCACAUUUCUAGGACAUAAAAUCAGUGCAGGCCUGAUCAAAAUGGAUGAAGGCAAGGUACAGACUAUCAAGGAGUGGCCAGUCCCUAGCAAAAUGACUGAGUUGCAGUCCUUCCUUAGCUUGGCCAACUACUACAAAAGGUUCAUUAAGGGGUAUUCAAAUAUGGUGUCCCCCCUUACUAACCUAUUAAAGAAGGACAACCAAUGGGACUGGAGCAUGUAGUGUCAAAUGGCUCUUGAAGGCUUGAAGGAAGCCAUCUCCACUGAGCCUGUGCUACGUUUUCCAAACUUGGAUUUUCCCUUUGAAGUCUAAAUGGAUGCCUCAGAUAGGGCCUUAGGUGGAGUCUUGGUGUAGGAAAUGCACCAUGUGGCGUUUGAAAGCAGGAAACUGAAUAAUACUAAGUAAAAAUACUCCACUCAUGAGAAGGAAAUGAUAGUUGUGGUUCAUUGCUUGCAGCAGUGGAGACAUUACUUAUUGGGAAGUAUAUUCAUAGUUGUCACUGACAAUGUGGUCAACACCUUCUUUAAAACUCAAAAGAAGUUGAGUCCCAGAUAGGCCCGAUAGUAGGAGUUCCUGGCCGACUUCUAGUUUGAAUGGUUGCAUCGACCAGGAAGGCAUAACAUGGUGGUUGAUGCCCUAAGUAGAAGAUAAGUGAUUGCCUAUAUCACAACCCNNNNNNNNNNNNNNNNNNNNNNNNNNNNNNNNNNNNNNNNNNNNNNNNNNNNNNNNNNNNNNNNNNNNNNNNNNNNNNNNNNNNNNNNNNNNNNNNNNNNGCACUUUUGGGUUGCCUCGAGAUAUAAUAAGUGAUCGGGAUGCACAAUUCACAGGCCGUUUUUUGGUGGAGUUUAAGUUUUUCACAAGAAAUCAUCCUCAGACUAAUGGGCAGACAGAGAAGAUCAAUGUCUUACUAGAAGAAUACCUCAGGCACUAUGUGAUAGCAACACAAAAGAACUAGGUUGAUUUGCUUGACACUGCACAGUUGUGCUACAAUAUGCAAAGGAGCUCAGCAACAGGGAUGAGCCCCUUUGAAUUGGCUAUUGGGGUACAGCCAAUAAUGCCUUUGGAAGUGGCCAAGCAAAAGCCAGGAGAAAAUAGUCCUGCAGCAUAUAAGUUGGCUCGGUCCCGGCAAAAGAUGUUUGAUGAAGCCUAGGACAAUCUAGAGAAGGUAGCUAGACGGAUGAAGAAGUAUGCAAACCGUGACUAACGACCCUUGGAAUUUCAGGUUGGGGACAGGGUCCUUCUGAAAUUGGCUCCUCAGAUAUGGAAUAAAAUCAGUAGUAAGACAAGGCAGAGGGGUCUAAUUCCUAACUAUGAUGGACCAUUUGAGGUAAUAAAACGGGUGGGACAUGUAGCCUAUAUGUUGAAGCUGCUUGAGAGGCUCAAGCUUCAUCCCACUUUCCAUGUCAGUUUUUUGAAGUCAUACCAUGAGGAUCUAGAUGCAGAGAGGGUGCAGUUUGAUCAAGAGGUGGAGAAGAUCUUGGAUCACAGGACCAUGGGACAUAGUAGAAAGAACCGUCAAACCUAUUUCUUGGUUCAAUGAAAGGGGAUUUCGGAAGCAGAAGCUACAUGGGAGAAGGAUUUUACCUUGUGGAAAUUUGAGAAGGCGGACUAAACUUACUGGCAGACUAAGACAACGAGAGCGUUGACUUCAGCAGACGGAGAUGGGUUUGUCAGCCCCUUAGCCUCUUGACCCGAUGUUGAAGGAAUGAGCCUCAUGGGUAGGCCUUGCACCCAUGGGAGCCUAGACGGAGAGUAAGGAUGGCCUAGAGGUUUGGUAGAUCAAACCCCAAGAGUUAAAAUGAGGAGGUCAUGUGUGAGCCAGACACGCACCACAAGUGCACCACGGGCGAGCCAGAUAAGUACCGCACGCGCAUCGUAGGCGAGCCAAGCAAGCACCACACGCGCACCGCAGGCAUGCUAGGCAGGCACCGCGCGCGCACCGCAAAUGAGCCAGGAAUGCACCGCGUGCUCGCCAAGUAGGCACUGCGUGCGCAUCAGGUAUAUGUUGACUAUGAAGUUGGUGCAGAUGGAGGGUGAGGUUCAUUUUGGAAUAUAAUUUAUAAUUAUUUAAAUAUUAUAUUAUAUUUCCUCAAGCAUGUAUGGUGUCUCCUUCAUACAUCUUGAGAAUGACCUGUAUUGCUCUUUUAGGGGGAGAGGGGGGGGGGGGUAGGUGACUCAAGGGGGCACCAUGGUACAACCUUGGGCAUGCCUAGGACACGCGGAUGGCACUCAAGCACGCACACAUGGGCUCCACGACAUGCGUGGCGUGCACCUCGUGGCCGUAACAACACGGGACCUGGUGCGGCCUAUCUCUUCCUCGAGCAGGCACGAGGGCACCUAAGCCUUGUGCAGCCAGCUAGUUGGGGAAGCCAUGGUCUAAUGGGGCACUAGACAGGCAGUUGACUCGCACCCAUGAUGCUUACACAUGGCACAAUGGCACAAUGCCCUAUGCACCAAAAGAGAAUAGCUAUGGGCGCAAUGUCAUGGCUCGUUGUUGUGGAGCUUGACCUGACAGUGGGAACUAAACACAUGCCCAGGCCAUGGGCACCUCGACAUGGUAUGGGCUGACACAUCAGUGUGGGGAAGGCACAUUGAUGCACCAAGCACUUGGUCAGCUGGUUGGUGCAUGCUGCUGGUUUAGAUGGCAAUUAGCUAAUGGCAGUAAGAGUGUGAUCAAGACAACAAUCAGCUACAAGGGACUAAUGGUUGUAGACUGAUGGCUGGAUCGAAGAGACACCUUGGACUAAAGGAAUGUCUCCAACUAGGUGGUUACACGAACAGUUCACCAACGGGGUGGUUAUGCAAGCAGUUUUGAGUGGUUGUGGCAGUUGCAUAGCCACUAAACUGACUCAUUGGUUUUGAAUUAUGAAAUUUGAAAUUGUAACUUACAGGCUGGUCAUUUAAAAAAGGGUCUCCUGCAUCUCUAAGAUAGAGCAUGAAAGCAUGAGAUGUGUCUUUGAAUGCUUAAGGGUUCUAAGCAUUGUUCUCUGACUCAGGUCAAGUGUUGAGACACUUUGGAAAAUGAUUUUGUAUCUUGUAGUGAGUGAAAUAAUACAAGUUGGAAAGGGUUCCCAUAAUUAUUAUGUCCUAUUACUUUGUUUUUCUAAGGGCUGGGAAGGAAAGUUGGCUAAAGAAGGGUCCUUAGCACUACACACUCGGAAAAAAAAAAAAUUAAGGCAAUUAUUAGAGGUGUGACACUUAGCAUGUAGCUACCAUCCAACCUUGUGGUAUUGGACAUCUUAGAUCUAUCCAACUCCUUAAUGUUGGAUAUUUUUUUCUUAAAAAUUAUUAUUAUUAUUUUAAAAUUAAGAAAAAUUUGAAAUUCAUUUUUGAAAGAACUUCUCUUGAUCUAUGAAAUUACCCAAAGAGGAUGAAUAAAUCGAUGAAGUGAUAUAUCAAUUAUGAGUAAAAACAUAUAUCAAUCCCAAGCAAAAUAAAAAAUCAAUCAUAUAAUUGACAUAUGAUGUAAGGUGGAAAAAUCACUUAGGUUUUCCUAGGUGUAAACAACUAUAAUAGAACUAUUGACAACAAAUUAUUCACUAAAUAUAAAAAAAGAGUACACAGAUUUGUAGAGUCUUAUUGUUAGGAUUGAGCAUUUAAAAGAAUGACAUGAUAUAAUAGAAUAAGUUUUUAUGAAUAAAUUUAAUUAUCAAGAUUUAUGGUCUCCUUUUUUUACCCUUUAUUGCAUUACUUGCUAUUUGAGUAUUCACGUUUGUAUCUCUUGUAUUAUACUCUUGUAUCUAUUGUAUUAUAAAUUACUUGGAUGCAUUAAGAGUUGUAUAGAAGAUCCAAAUUAUGAUUUCUUGCAAAAUGAUAAAUUGUUCAUAGUUGGUUCAUGGAAUUAGGCAAUCCAUCAAAUAUUGUACUGCACUACCUUCUAAUUUAAGGGUUGACUUGCUUGGUCAUUGUGAUGAUUUUUCCAUGGUGAGUACACUGGUGUGUAUGGUUACACAUUGGACCGAACCUGUAGUGAAUUACAACAUUGACUAUCAGGUAGUCAUGAUUCAAUAGGCUACUAUAGUGUAUAAGCUCUCAACUUGUGAGAAUAUUGAGAUAGUGCUAAGGUUUUUACUGGCUUUGACCUAUAAGUGAGACCCUAAGGUAGUCAUAUAUUUUCUAUAGAUUGAAUCACUAUUGAUUAAGGCAGAUGACAACAAAUAUUCUCAAAAUAAACAACAUAAUAUCUCAUGAAUUAAGAGAGUGUAUGCCCUUGGGUGAUCCAAAGGUUUUGUGAUCAUGAAAUUUUGUAGUCAUAGUAAUUCUUUUAGUAGAAUUUGACAUGUGUUAUUUAUGAGUUAGAGCAUAUCAAUGGAUCAUAUGAUAGAAAUAUUUGAGACUCAACGAUUGGAGAGAUAAUUUUAAGAGUUUAAUAACUUCUACCUCAUUAUAUUAUGGGAUACUAGUUCAUAUGAGUCUACAUGCAAUAGAUGGUAGUUCACAGACUCAAACUUCUUAUCUCGAUGUUAUUUCAUAGGAUAUUGGAGUGCAAUUGACUUAUUUUAGUAGUGUCUUGAGUCAACUUUAGAAUUAGACUAUGAGGGAGCUAGAAUUUUCCUAUAAGUCAUAAUGUUCCCUACUCAAGCUCAUAUGCUUUGUUGGCACAAAGUCUUAAGGUUUUAUAAAAAAUUAAUCAUUUACGUGUAUAAGAGUGUUUUGGUAAAUAUAUAAAUUUGCAUAAAAUUUUAAGAUUAAUUAAUUAUAGUUUUUUUUAUUCAGUUAAUUUAUUAAUUAAAGCCUAAUAGAGUUAAUCAAUUAAUUAGGACCUAGUGAAUUAGAUUAAGUAACCUAAGCCCAAGAUGAGCUCAAGUCACUUAAGCCCACAAGGAGGACUAUUGAGGGGUAUUUGGGUUCCUUAUUCAUAUAUGUGAAUAAGAUCAUUUUCGUAAAACAUAAGAUUGCACAAGAACUUAUGAAUUAUCUUUUUAAAUCGGGUUAAUUAAUUUAUUAGGACCAAUAAAGAUAAUUAAUUAACUAUGACCUAAGCGAGAUAACUUAAAUGACCUAAGCCUAAGAUGGGCUUAAGUGACUUAAGCCCACAAGAUAUCCUAUAUAGACCCCCUUAGGACUUUAGAGAUGUUUUCGUCAUCCGAACUUUAGAGAGGAACCCUAAUCUCCAACCCCUCUAAAGAGCAUUUCACCUCCUUCUAUGCCAAGAUCCAGGAAAAAUAGUUAUCGAGUGGAAGACCUUUUAGUUUUCGAGAUCUACUAUACCUCUUCUUUAGAUUGGAUUUGAUCUGGUAAUAUCUAGAUCACAAGUAUCGCUUUCUUGUAGGGAAACCAAGAUUGCUCUAUUCCUUUACCUGGGGUCUUUUAAGCUGUAUGUAAUCUAUUCCUAUGAAUCUCUAGAUCUAAGCACAAAAAACAUAUUAUAAUAAAAACCAUAAAUAAUAUAGUCUAGAUAGAAGAACAUGAUACCUAUGAUCUGGAUGCUCCCAAAUCCAAUCUUAUCGAUAAAGUAAAUUGUACAUAUCAUAGAUCUCAUAUGCCUAAACAUCUUAUACCCGAUCAAUCCUUUCACAGAUCCUAACAUAAGAAAAGUGUGGUCUUCUCUCUAGAAGGGGGGUUAGGGUUUUUUUCUCUUUAAGGUAUAAAAGAUAUAACCAAAAGUGAAGCCUUAAACCCCAAAGAGGAUUUAUAUAAGUUUCCUCGUGGGCUUAAGUGACUUGAGCCCAACUUAGAUUUGGGUCACUUAAUCUAACCCAUUUAGGUACUAACUAAUUAAUUAAUCCAAUCCAGAAAGACCAUUCAUAAGAUCCAGCAUAAACUUACAUUUUUACCAAAACGUUGUUAUGCACACUUAUAAAUUACAAACACAAAAUUCUCUCAAACAAAUAUGCAUCCAUGAAUCAAGAACUCGAAAGAGGACUACUGAGACCCAUAGGAAAAUAUUGGCUCCCUUAGAAUCUAAUUAUGAAGUUGAUUUAACAUCCCACUACAAAGGAUCAAAUGCACUCCAAUAUCAUAUGCAUUACAACGUGACAAAACUCAGGUCCAUGACCUACUAUCCACUACAUGUAGACUCCUCAUGAAAUAAUGUUCAUACUAGGAUAAGGCGUGCGCUAUCAUCCUCUCAAGAUUACCUUUUCAAUCCUUAAGUUAUAAAUCAUUUUAUUAUGUGAUCAAUUGACACACUCUAGCACACAAAAACCAUACGUCAAAUUCCACUUAAGAAAUUACUACAAUUAUAGUUUCCUUGAUCACAUGUUCUUAAGAUCACCCAAUAAGACACACUGUCUUAAUCACAUGAGAUAUUAUGGUGUCUCUAUUGAGGAUACAUGUUAUCACCAGCUUACAUCAAUAGUGACCCAAUCCCUAGGGAAUAUAUGAUUAUCUUAAGGUCUCACCCAUAUAUUAAAGUCACAAAUGACCUCAACACAUGUUCAAUAUCCCCUCAAGGUUAAGAGUCCAUACAAUAUAAUAAAUUGGUUAAUAAUGACUAGCUAAUAGCUAAUGUUAUGAUUUAUCAUAGGUCUUGUCCAAUAUGUAACCAAACAUACUAGUGUAUUCACUGUGGGAAAACCAUCCUGAUGACCAAGACAAGUCAUCCUUCAAAUUAAGAGGUAGUGCACUAUAGUCUCUAAUUGCCCAAAUCCAUAAAUUGACUAUGAACUACUUAUCAUUUUGCAAGGAACCACUCUAAUAUCUUAAGUAAUUACAACGAGACAAAGAUUAGGUUUGUGACCUACUAUCCAUUGUAUGCAGACCUCUCUUGAAUUGGUAUUCAUAAUAUAACAAAGUAGUGUUAUCAACAUUUAUUAAGAUUACCUCUUCAAUCCUUAAGUUACAAAUUCUUUUAUUAUGUAAUCAACUGACAUACUCUAACUCACAAAGAGCAUAUGUAAAAUUUUACUAAAGGAAUUGUUAUUGUCAUAGUCUUCUUAAUCACAUGUAUUUUGUAUUACCCAUGGAGACACAUUGUCUCAAUCCGAUGAGAUAUCAUGGUGUCUUUAUCAAGAAUACCUUUUGUCACUUAUCUUCAUCAAUAAUGACCCAAUCCAUGGACAUAUAUGGUUAUUUUAGGGUCUCACCCAUAGAUCAAAGCCUCUUAUUGAUUUUAGUUCAGGCUCAACUUCCUCUAAAGAUUGAAAGUACAUGUAAUAUAAUAGCUUGGUGAAUCAUGAAAACCAAUAGUUGAUUAACACUCAAAAUUAGUGUUUUUUCACAUAUAAAUAUGGGUUUUUAAAUGAUUUUUUUAGUAUAAAUCAUUAUCUUUUAACUUAAAUAUAUGUUAAACCCCAAAUUGAGGACUAAUGUUUACAUCUAGUGAAGAAUGCAAAGAAAAAAAGGAACUUUGAUACAUAAAAGUGGAUCUCAUCACAACUUUGAUAUAAAUGAGUAGAGUCAAUCCAAGUACAAUGAGUUCAAGGUGUGAUUAAAAUGAAUUUCAAUAUCAAGCCAAAUAAAAUUCAAUACUAAGACACAAUUUUGAUGUAAGAAAUACAUUUCGAUAACACAAUGAAGAUAUCGAAAUCACCAACUUUAGCCUUCCAAAGAUCCAAUGAGUUCCAAAUUUUAUCGAAAUUAAUGUAGAUAUGAGAGAUGAAUUUUGAUACCCAUUUUGAUACAAUGAAGGUAGUCUAAUUUUCCUACAAAAGUAUUCCAAAGAUACAAAAAAUUUGAAGGUUUAUAGAAAUGAAUUUCAAUACAUUGAGAUAUGACUUUGAUACAAGUUGCAACAUUUUGAUACAUCAAUAUACCAAAAGAUACUUUCUAACACAAUUUCGAUACAAGGUGCAAAAUUUUGAUACAUCACGAUACAUAAAGAUAUAUUGUGAUCCAUGUCAAAAUCAAUUCAAUACCACAUUAGAAGCAUGCCAGAGGUCCAGAAGGUUUAAGCAUUUCUCAAAUUCAUUUUGACACCACUAUGAAGAUAUUGAAAUUUCUAAUACAAGCUAUGAAUUCUAGAAAUUCACUCAUUCACUUUCUCCAUUCAACCCUUUUGCUUGUGUUUGGACAUUUUAAGACUUUUAUUUAUGUUUUUAAGGUUAGUUUUCUAUAAAUAUUAUAGACUUCUUUAGGAACAAAGAUGAGAGAGAAAAGAAAGAGGAACUUUUGAGUUUGAAUAUAAUUUUUGUAAUCAUUUGGUUUUCAAUAAAAUCUCUCAUGAUUCAAUUUAAAUCAAUGCAUGGUGUUAAACUGAGCAUGAGGACUAAAUCCUCUCCUUGGAGAUGUAGCAAUGAAGGUGGAUGAUACAAAAGAAAGAGAUGAUAAGUAAAGGUAAUGUCUUUCCAUGGUAGUGAAUUUCUCAUCUUUAAAUUUUAUAUGCAAGUUUAAUUCUUUGCUAAUUUGUCUAUGUUAGAAAUACAUAGGAUGCAUGCUAGGAGUUCUUUCAUGCAUAAGGGAUUUUGAUAAAUGGCUGACUUGGUGUAAUACUACGUGUUUGAUAACUAAAGAGAAUCUACCAAAUGAAUAUCAAGUAUUAAAUGUCUUAAAGGUUAAAACUUUUUAUCAAAUUAGUUUUUGGAUGACUAUUAAAGAAUGGAUUUCAAGUUUUAAAACAUGGUUCCAAACUUAGAUGGCUUAUAUUGAUAGUCCAGUUUUGGAAGACCAAAAGUUCUUUAAUCAAUAUUUAUUAUAAUUGGACCACCAAAAGUUCUUUAAUCGGUAUUUAUUACCCUUCAAUCCUAGGUUCGAAAGUGAAUUUGUGAAAAUCUUCAUAUUAGUUUAUCAUUGUUUUCUGAAUUUAUCAAUCAAAUCACAAUUUCAAUCUAAUCAAUUUUUCAUAAGAAUCACUACUUGAUUUAGAUUAGGCAAAAUCAGUUAAAAUUUUCUUAUUCUCUAAAGACGAUAACCCGAAAUACUAUUAGUCAUGGUAACCCUAUUUGUGGUUUUUCUUAGCCAAGGUUAUCACAUAUUUAGGCUUUAAUAUUUUUCUUAUAAUAGAGAUAUAUUAAUCAAUAACCUUACUUCAUGAUUCAUCGUAAGUCUUAUCCAAUGUGUAACCAUACAAACUAAUGCACUCAUUGUGGAAAUCUCAUCCCAACAAUCAAGACAAGUUAUCCCUCCAAUUAAGAAGUGGUAUACUACAGUUUCUAUUAAAUUAUCCAAAUCCAUAAAUCAUAUGUGAACUACUUAUCAUCUUACAAGGAACUUAUAAAUUGGAUAUUCUGUGCAAUUCGCACUCAAAUCAUUUAUAAUGCAUGAUAUGGAUGUGAAUACUCAAAUAAUCAAUUAAUGCAUAAGGAAUAAUAAAAGGAACUAGAAACAUAAAUAAAUAAAUGUAUUAAUGAAUCAUAAUCUAUUACAUCAUGUUAUGCUUUUCAGGGCUCUAUCCCAAUAAAGGGAAUGUAUCCAAGAUGUAUAAGAAUGGAUCCUUACUUUAAGAUUCAUAAAUCUCAUGUUUUCAAAAGGAAAAUGAACUCUCUAAUAAAUCUAUCAGGAUAUGAUAUUGGAUUCAAUAAAUGUUUCUUGUAAGAAAGGAUGAUUCACUAAGAUCCAAUUCGAUUAUUCAUAUAUGAACCCCUAGGAUUAGUAUUUAAGAGUGGCAAAAGGUUUACCAUGAUUGAGAAACGAAUACGAAAGAGAGUGAUUUUAAGUAAGAAAAUAUGGAUCCUAUUCUCCUUGAAAUUUGAACAUAGAACCAAACCCAAAAUAUUUUGUUCAUUCUGAACUUGUUUUCAUUAAAUUAAAAUUCAUGAAAAAAAAAUUAUUUAAUUGGAUUUUAAGGUAAUUUAUAUGAGAAUAAGUUAAACAUCUUAAGUCUUUACAACAUUAGGUACCAUAGUAGUAGUCUUUCUGAGAUAGACUAAACUACUAUCACUAUAGCUAUUUGUUUUCUUUCAAUUUUUUUGGUUUGGAAAACAAUGGCAUAACUAGCAUUAGUUUACUGUAAAAACCUCUUAUCAACUACCAUAAUAAUUCAAUUAUAUGAUUGAUAGUCUCUAAAGGCUUUAUAUAUAUUUUAUGAUGUAGCUACAAAAUACUUAUAUGGAUCCACAUAUAUGUUAAAAUCCCUUAAAGAUUUAAAAUGCCUGAAGCAAAUACUUCCCUGAAGUAUCUGAAAUAAUGAUUGAAAACCUCACAUCACAUUCUAGAUCAAAGCAUGACAAUAACAUACUUGAUCAUAUUACGUCAUUGUAUAGAUUAAAAUGGGGGUUUGUAACUCCUAAAGACCUCAUAAGAACAGUUAAUUAUCAAAAAAAAAAAAAUUGAAAUGAAGGAUCUUGAAAAUCCAACAUUUUGUCUUAGCCUAUGAAUCAAUUUUUUUCCAUUAAUGGCAUGUUAGUCCAUCAGUUCACACAUACAAAGAGUCCUUAAUUAUUUUUCUAUAAACGAAUCACACCCACUUUGUUACCUUAUGGUUGACCAUUCACUUGAAGUGAACAAGCACAUGUUUCAUCCUAAAGAAAAGAAAAUUAAGAACUACUUAGUUAAGAAUCAACCAAUGAUGAAAAUGUCAAGAUAUGCCAUGAUAUUUCCAUUAAAUCAGCCAUUUUUCUUCGAUAUUUUGGUUGGCACACCGAUAUAUCAGUGCCACAUCAUCCUCAUUUCCUUUUUUUCCCCAAAAUUCUUUUAAUGGGCCCAACCAUCAGCCCAACUCAUUCGCACCAACCAAGCUUUUAACCCCACACUCACAACUCCCUACCAUCACCAGUCAAUCACCCAUGUUUCACAUAAUAAAAUAUACGUAUAUACAUAUAUAUAUAUAUUAUAAAUAAAUUAGAAUAAAAUUAUUAUAAAUUAAUUAAUUUUGGUUAUUGUGACUUUUAUAUAAUAAUUAAAUACAAAAAAAUAUAAAUUUUUUAAUAAAAUUAUCAAAACUUUAAAAUAAAAAAUACUUAUACAAAUUAUCAUUAUUUCUUUUAUGUCACUAAAUACAUCCAAAUUAAAUGAAUAUACAUAAAGUAUGUUUUCAAGUUAUAAACAUUAUUAUUAAAUACCACAACUUAUAUUAUACAUACAUACAUAGAUAUAUAUAUAUCAAUUUUAAAAAAAAUAAAAAUAAAAACCCAAUAUUUCUAUUUUGGAACUUUUCACAAUAUUUUCAUAAGUUUUGAUCAACUUUUAACUCAUCAAUAUUUUAUAUCAAAAUAUUCGUUGAUAUAUCUUUGAUAUAUCUGCAAAAUUAAAGUACUGAUAUAUUCAUAAUUAUCGAUAUUUUCAUCCUUAGAAGUAACAUAGUGGAAUUAGGACACUUAUAUAACUUGCAAUCAACACAUAACCAAAUAUUGCGUUUUCUAGCAAUUUAUCAAUAAGAUAUAGCUCUACCCGUAUUCAAAGAUAGUGAAGUGGUAUCAAACACAUGCUACAAUAUCUUUGUGGAACAACUAACUUGGGCUUAUUAAAAAAAUUAGAAUUGUGAUUGUUUAGAUAUGCAAAUGUUGGUUAUCUUUUAAACCCCCCAUAAAGUUCAAUUUUAGACAAACUAUAUAUUUACAUGUGGCAAUAUUGUUAUAUCAAGGAGAACAGCCAAGCAACCAAUCAUUCAAAAAUACUUAAGAUUCUUGAAGCAAGUUAUGAAUGUAUUGAAUUAAGAUCUAUGAUUCAACAUGCUUGAGAGUUAUGUGAAUUAUCCUCUAUCAAAGACAAUCUAAUAGUAUUGCAUAAAGACAAUGUUGAAUCUAUUGUGCAAAUCAAAGGAGGAUAUAUUAAACAUAAUCUAACUAUGUAUAGUUCAUUGAAUUCUUCUACACUCAUGAGCUUCAAGAGAGCAAUGAAAUUUAUGUUCACCAUAUACAAAUCUACUCAUGAAGACAUCAUUGUUUGUUGCAUUGAAAAAGCUAAGACACAACAUUGGAAUGUAAAUGUUUAAAGAUUUCCAAGCUAUUACAAUAAAGGAAUCAUAAUCAUAUUUACACGAGGGAGAGCAUAGUAACAUGGAUGUCUUAGAAUGUUGUCCCAUUGGGUUUUACCAACAAACUUUUUAACAAGACAAUCACGAUAGUCUAAUAUUAAACUUUUUUUCCUUCAAUGGGAUUUACCUUUCAAAUAUCCAGGAUAUUAGAAAAAUAUUUAUUAUAAUAAUUAUGAUUAUAACCUAUAAGUAGGGUUAAAGUUAUUGGAAAUAAACAAUUUCAAGCUUUGAUUUUCUCUUUAUGUUUCUUUGUUUUUACAAAAAUUUCUCUUAAUUUUUCUCUUUUAUCUUUCUUUGUUUACAAAAAUUUCUCUCUUGUUGGGCAGAGCUGUUAUGAAAUUUCAUUAGAAUUGGUCUUUUAGAAAAUAAGCUUUCUUAUUAGUUUGGAUACUUUUAGAUAAAAAGAAAAAACCAUUAUGAAAUCUUUUCGAUUUGUAUACAAAAUUAUUUUAUAACUAAUGUUAAAAUUAUCCAUUUAAAAACAUAAUGUGGAUUAAAAUGUCAAAUAUAAUGCGAUUGCUUUUGGAUUACUUCCCAGUGAGAUAUGCCAAGUUGAGCUAUAGCUCAUGCGGAUGACCUUUACUUUCAAAUUCUGUUAUCUUAUUGGUGAAUUAACUAAAUCCAGUAAGUAUGAAUUUUUCCAGACACCCCCUUAGACUUAGGUCUUGGCCUCUGCUCUGUCUAUGAAAAACAUGAACAAAUCUACUCUUCAAACCUGUUUGGAAUACGAGAAUUCUCAAAACCUACCAUUCAAAAUGUUGGGGGUAGAAGACAGCCAGACUGGCAGGUAGGAAAAGAUGGUGAAAGGUCAAUGCUCACCUCCCAGUCCACCUUCUCAACCUUUAUCAUCUCCGCCCCUCCCCCAUUUCCGUCCCUUGCAAACCUCCAUUUCCGAUUCAGAUUCAACACACACAAUCCUUCCUUCGGAGAUGGAAGAUAAAGAGAGAGCGAGCAGAGUUGACGAGUAAUAUGAGAGCCUAUUGCCUUUCCAGGUAUGUUCCGUUGGGUCUUUGCAACUCUCAUGAAUUCUCUUUCUAAGCAAUCUGCCAUAACCAAUUCGUUUCUACCACCCAACUUUUCCCAGAAGCGGAUAACACCUGAACCCAAUCAAUAAUAAUAUGCUGAAUAUAGAAAUAUACCGAGUAUAGUUUUAGCAAGAAUAUCACUGCCAUUUUUGUAAAGCUUAGAGGUGGUGGUGGGGAUUGAACAAGAAAGAAAAAUGGUUGACACUAGUUAUCACAACAUCGCAACAAAUAAGUUUUUUUUUUUUUUCUUUUUCCUUUUCCUCAAUCCCCUUUCUUUCAUGAAUAGAAUGAUCACUCACAAGUGCUUUGUAAUGACAUUUCACAGAAAGAAAAGCAUCAAUAUAAGAUCCAAAGCAAAGAUGAUCUCUCACUAAUGUCACAACAUACUCUUCACAAUCCAUAGAAGGCCACUUUUUUUUCCAAUAGAUAUAAACCUCCUACUGAGAACAAACUGAAAUUUCAUAAACUAUGGGAUAGGCUCAUCACUCCAUAUGUAGAAUAAACAAUUUUAGCUAUCUCCCACCUUGUCAUUUGUUUUAGAGGUUGGUUAACUGCAUCUAAAAAUGGCAAUCCCAUCCACCAAUACUCCCUUGCUCAGGAAGUUCGUUUCUGCCAAAUAUAAACCCAAUCCUCUUAGCGAAUAGGAUGAUAUUGUGUGAUACCACGCUUUGGAGGCAACUUCCUCAAAAUGAAAAGGACCAGAGAUGAAGGCAGUAUCUCCACCAACUGUAAAGGUAGGCAAAAGCACAAAAAAAAGGCAAAGGAAAUAAGGAAAAAAGAAAACAAGUAACAAUAUUAAGAGAAACUAUAUGAAAACAAGAUUAUAGGAAGAAAACAAGAAACAAUAUUAAGAGAUAUAAACUAUAUGAAAACAAGAUCAUAGUCCACAAUACCAAGUAUAGACAGUAGUAUAUAUCAAAACUAUAUUCCCUUUUAAAACCACAAGGCAGGCGAGAAUCACCCUCUUCACAGACAGGUUGCAACCUAAACCAAGAUGUUGAAUGGAGAAACAACCAUCAAACUUCCCUGUAGGCAUCAUUCACCAUCAUUAUGGGCCACCAAUUGCGCGCACGCGCGCGCGAGAGAGAGAGAGAGAGAUUAAGGGCAAGAAGUAUAUGCCAUGAUCUGUUCUCACCUGAGAACUUUCAUGAUUUCUCUGUGUGAGAGAGAGAGAGAGAGGGAGAGAGAUUACGGGCAAGAAGUAUAUGCCAUAAUUCUUCAUGAUCUGUUCUCACCUGAGAACUUUCAUGAUUUGUGGGUGUGUGUGUGGGUGAGAGAGAGAGAGAGAGACAGAGAUUAAGGGCAAGAAGUAUAUGCCAUAAUUCUUCAUGAUCUGUUCUCACCUGAGAACUUUCAUGAAUACUCGAAAUCCCAUUACAUCAAGUUCUUCAACAAAUGAGGUUCAUGCCAAAUUGUCAAUAGCCAAGUUAUCCUCAUCCACAUCAUGGCUUACCAGACAAUCACACUAGUCAAGAGGAAAGACAUGUCUCUUGCUUAAACACAGCAGUGGUCCAUUUUUAGCCCGUAUAAAAAAGGCAGUCCAUGGUUACAACAUAAAUCAUGCAGUUUAGGACUCGAAAUUGUAUUAAGGGAGAGGGUAAAUUGGACAUCAUGCAAAGACCUUUGAUUUAAGCAUUCAGCUUUCACACAUUAAAAAGGUUGGAUAUGUUUUCACUUGAUGACAUGCCAAUAAGUAUCAACUAGAACCAUAGCCAAAAUUGACCAAAUAAAAUCGAUUUUUUUUUUAUCAGAAACCAUAAAAAGAAUUUAUGAAUGAAAAAGCACAGCAUGGAAGGAGCAGAAGUCCUUCCAACCAAAACUUACCAGGUAAUAUAUAAAGUUUAGAAUUGGGUGAUCCAAAACAUCAAGGUUUGCAGCUUGAUCAAACGCAUUAAAGCACAUCUGUCAUGUAGAAAAUUAAUAAUAAAAUUGUCAGGUAAAAUAUAUUGAUAAACAAAUGUCAUACAGCAGUAAGGUGCUGAUUUUGUGCUUUGACUCUUAUAGCUGGUGCUUGGUUUAAAACACCAGAGGCCCAAAAUAAUUCUAUAACAAUAAAUUAACUUCAGUACAUAAACCAUAGCUCUACACUAUAUAGAUAGUGCAUUCCAAUAUGCUUGUGAUUUACAUAAGCAUCUAAGUGGCUACCCUAGUAGUGCUGGUCUAUAAUAUCUAAAGGCACAAAGGCCUCUCUUAGAUCAAACAUCUAGAAGAGUUUAUGUAGCAAUUGAAGAGGACUCACCAUAAUGCAUCUAACAAGGAAACAUGAGAAACAUAUGGUGGUGACGUAGCCAACCUGCACAAAACCAAAAAUUCAGAAUGUCAACAUGAAAACAUAUGGAAAUCCAAAAACUACAAGUAAUUAAAAGAAUUUACCUCUUGCAGCUUCUUACGUCUUCCUUUUGACUCUACAGGAAAGCGCUGUAGCAUUAAGAAGAGCCUGUAAGAUGACGGUUGGAAGAGAGCGAGGUCAGGAUGUUACAUAAGGUGUAAGUUUAAGACAAAGAAGGUACAUAUAAAUAUUUAUCAGCAUGCAGUAUCCAUCAAAGAAACUUACUACCUAAUAGGGAGUCAAAUGGGAGAACCUAUAUAUAAAGAUGCAAUCACAAGAGAUAAUUCACUGCACCUAAUGAUCAAUAUAAAGGUAUCAAGGGGCCAAAUAAUCUAUUCUAGUUUUUUACGUGACCUUAAGCUACACAUAUGUUAAUCUAAGUUGAUACACAUUAUUAGAGUUCCUUUCACAAAGAGAAGGCAGCUCACACCCCAAAUUGCCACUAUAAUUUUUGUUCUACAUGGCCUUAAAUGCUUCAAUAUCAACCCACUGCACGCACAACAUACUUAGCAACAAGAGAACUUGAGAUUUGCAUGUAAUAGCAGAAACCAAGAGAAGCCAGCUUAGCACUAUAUGGUCCAAAUUAAGGUGAAACCUUAAACCCUUAAUAGUAAGGCUUGGCUAGAAAGUGCAGAGAACGUAUAUAAUCCAGUAACUCCAAUGAAACAGUCACCUGAAGCUUAGAUUGGACAUUAGAGGAAAGUUGGACUGUCAUUAUAAGUGAAGUCAAGCAAAUUAAGCAAACUAUACUUUGCUCCUUAGUGCUCCGAAAGGAGGUUCACAGCUCUUAUUGUGUAUGCAAAUGAUCAUCAUGACAGGAAAUAAUGAGGAAGUAAUAUGAUGGUUAAAAGCUUCAGUGCUAUGGGAUAACUUGCGAUAUUUAAAACCAGCGUGUUUUUCUCUUUGAGAAAGUAUUGGAUCUCCCAACAAAGACAGUCAUCCUACAAUGUAAGCCAAUUGACACUCCAAUUACUCAAAAUCAUCACCUCUAUGAAAUGUUGAGCCCUUCUGCCAACAGGAUGAUAACCACACUUGAGAGGAACUUAUUUAUUUUUCACACAAUUGGAGGCGACUAAUAAAUUAUAAAGGAAGCACAUUUGGAGAGCAUGUCAUAAAAUUUUAAGGUACUUAAAACAACAUCACUUGACUGGUUAGCGGUGUGUAAUCCCUAAGGAUUGGUCUAACCUAGAGUGUUCGCUUGUUUUACUGUGCACUUUCUUGUGUUCGUAUUCUUGUAAUUUAGUUUUCUUUGGUGGGAGGAUUUCUCAUCCUUCUCUUGUACUUCUUUUUCUAUCAAUAUAUCUCUUUGUUGUUUCCUAUCAAAAAAAAAAAGGUACCUUGUUUAUCAGGUACAGUCAUCUGACUGCAGUGUCAUACAUGGAUGUAGAUUGGGUGAAGAUCAUUACUGAUUGGAGACCCACUUUUGGUUGUUAUUGCACAAUUAUUUGUGGAGAAUGUGGUAAAGUUGUGAAAAAUUGAUCGGUUGCGAGAUCUAUAGUCAAGGCAAAGUUGAGAGUAACUGCAUAUGGAGUGUCUAAGCUCCUUUCAUUUAGAAUUCUGCUAGGAGAAAUGGGUGACUUUUUUUUCCUUUUUUUUUUUUUUUUUGAUAACCAAUUGUAUUAAAAGUGCCUAAAGAAUACAUGAUGUAUACAAGGCCAAAAAAAGGAGGGAUAGACAAAAAACAAACACUCUCGCUUCACUUACAGCCCAACGAAUCUAUGAAAUAUAAAAGGGACAAAGAAGUAGACUCUAUAUGUGUACCCUAACCCACUCCAAAACCAUGUACAUGAAGGAUCGUAAAAUCGCAUGGUCUGUUAGUUUAGAAUCCUCAAAAGCUCUUUGAUCCUCUCCUUCCAUAAUGUCCAAAAUAGACACAAAGAUGCAGCUUUCCAAGCCUUCUUCCUCUUCUUCCCAACAAAGGCACCCUGCCAACUAAUGAGGGCAUCCUUGAUUAAGACCGGCAUCACCCACUGAAGAUCAAAUAUAGCCAAAAUAAGGUACCACAAAAUGGGCGACUUAUCUAAAGAAUCUGUGAGAUUGUACAGAGACACCAAAGCUGCCAUCAACAUUGUACAUAACCUAGCUCACAAUAAUAUGGUGAAGGAUAUCAAGGUGGAUCAAGAUAUUACAAAGGAAGAGUUGAAUCUGGUCUAAUUCCCAAAGUGUUGUAAGGAUUACGGGUUAACCUACAAGUGUGAUAUAUAUUAAGGUGGAUCAACAUAUUAUAAAGAAGUUGAAUUCCAAAUUUAUACACCUUUUGUGACAAUGAGAUCCACCAGUCAAUUUGCUGAUGUGUUGAUAAAUAGAGUAUAAAAUGCCAAUUUUAGUACAUUAGGCAAACCUAGGCAUUCAUGACUUGUACAAACCAGCUUGAGAGAGAGUGUUGAGAAGGGUUUCCGUUAUUACUUACAUAUUCUCCUUAAGUCUUCUGAGGUUAGCUAAAUAACUUGCACAAUUUUACCAUGUAGACACAAAGCUAAGGAGGGAAACCUACUCAGUAAUCAAACCCUCUUGACAAUCUUGUCACAUUCUUUCUUCCCCACUUCUAUUCUCUCUUUCUUUCCACACCAUUUCUUACAAGUUAACACAUAUCAAACAUUCCACAAGCUUUCACAGGGAGUGAAUCAAACCUAAAUUUCUCUCUGAUUGCUUACACAUUUUGUGGCAGGUGCAAAUAGCCACUCAUCCAACCCUGAAUUCAAACUAUCCCAUCCCUUCCCCACAUUCCUCCUCCCCCCACCCCCCUUCUUCCCCAUCUCUAUUAUUUGUUAUUUCAUUUUCUUUUGAAACAUUAAGGAAGGUGUCUCCACUUCUGGUCACAGGCACUUGAGGACUUCAAUGCUCCCUACUUUCACUAGUUGAGAAGAUAGUUGUUAGAGUGCACCUAGGCCCAAGGCAUAACCACUCCCUAGUUAUAGGGUCUUGUUGGAAAGGCAUGCAGCUACUUAUCUUUUCCUUUUUAAACACUUUCACUUUUAAAAUUUUUAAUUCUAUAUUGAAAUUCAUAUAAUUUUAUUAUGCUUUUGUUGAAUGUUUCUUUAUGUUUGGAAUCUUAAAUUUUUUGUUACUUGGAUUGGAUUUUGGAUCAUAUUAUAUAAAAUAGAAAUGAAUCCUAUGUCUUGUUUCACUUCACUCAGGCAUGCACCUUAUAUUGCACCAUGUGCCUAAGCAUCAAAAGACUUUUAUGCCUUAGUUGCACCUUGCACCUUUUAAAUAUUAUGGUCAAGAAACUUAUAGUAUCACUAUUUUACUAGCAGAUAGAUUCAACAGCCCUAGGACCAUAAAAAGACCCAUGCAAAUGAUCUCAUUGGUGGGAGUACACCUGUUGGCAGGCACUCAGCUUUCCACAUGGUUGUGGAGCUGCAAAAGAACUAGAGUAAAGCAUAGGAUUGGUGGGUGAAGCAUUAAAACAGACCUGGUGGGCUGGGUUAUAUAGUUUAUUUGAACUUUUGCAAUUUAUUGCAGAGGCACCUGUGGGUCAAUGAAUCAAGGGGCUAUUUACGUUAAGGUUUGCAUGUAUCAUGUAAUGGGUGACAGAAACAUUCUGGGAGACUUAAGUGUGACUUUACCUACAAUAACAAUUCGAAAGUGUAAAUAGUUCACAUGUGAGCCGUUUAGCAUUUAGGUGUUUGCAUUAUAUGAGUUUUGAGCACAUAAAAUCAGUGAACUUGUCUGAGUUGAUCCUACAACAGCAUUGGAGGUAAAUAGCUUCCAGUAUAUGUAUCUCUAAUGGAAUUUCUCUCUCAGAGGCGUCUUUGCCAAAGAUUUCCUGCUGCAACCAUAUAUACAUUCAGGUAAUUCCAAGAUUCAGAAAUUUUAGUGGGCAACCAAAUACUGAGAUUACCUUCCUCCAUAAAGAAGAAACCCAAGGGCUGCAAACAAAGACACACCUGCAGAUAUUUGUUUAAAAGAAAGUUGUAUCAGUAAUCAUCAAGAGGAACUACUGAGAAUUGCAACAAAUCAUCUAUUGUGUAGUGAAGCAAAACCUGCAAAGAACAUCUUAGAUAGGAUGAACACGAUUGGGAUAGGUUUCCACCAUAAAACAAACCACAUAGCAAUCUGAAAACAGUUCAAGAAAAGUGGUAGUCAAGAAAUUACCAUCAUCUUUAUACACAAAAAGAAAGCAGCUGUACAAGUAAUAAUGGCUAUGUUCGUAGCAGAACUUCUAACAUGCAACUGGUGUUGUAUAGGCAUGCACUUAGCACAAAUAAAAAAAUCAAGAAAAUAAAAUGAACACAUUAAUAUAAGCAACAACAUUGACAAGGGACAGACAAUUAUUAAAUGACCAGGAUACUCCCGGCCGUAUGCUGUUCUUAAUUCAGCUCUUCUCUAUAUCGUCUGCUAAAAGGGGAGAACAAGCAUUACUGGAAUACGUUCCGAAGCAUAGGAGUGCCAUUAAUUCUUAAAACCAAGUAAUCUUGUUCUCCUAUAUCUAAAAUUCCUAGUUAUUCCUAUUGCUGUUGAUUCAGGUCCAACCAAUGGUUUUCCACUAAGGGGUUCAGGCUUACACUCUCUUAUCCCUAAUUAAUUUUCUUAUCAAUCAGCCUCAGCAAGUUAUCAUGCAUUGGAAGCCCAGAAAUCUAAUGUGCAGUUGUUAAAGGAGCCAAUAGGGCUUAUUUGAGCCUAACUGGAAUGUUUUUUCAUGCUUGGGAAAAUGAGAGAUCUAGAGAGGCCUAGGAACUUAUUAAAUGGCCUCUUGAAAAGAAAAGGUUAAAAUGGGCCUUCAUGGUUAAGAACAGGGUGGAUGGGAAUAUGGAGGAGUGCAAGACCAGAUCAGAUAGCAACUUCAAUCAUAUCCUCCCAUUUACAAAGUAGACAAUCUAGGCUGGUCAUUUUAUUAAUUUGAACUUUAAUUUUAAAUAUCCAGUUCUGCAGGGUGAUCUAAAAGAGAAAUGCGUCUCUCCUAGGAUAUACAGAGCUAUAUACCCCAGUAUCAAUAAGCAACUCCAAUUAUAUCCUCUGAUUUACAUGUAGACAAUAUAGGCUGGCUUAUACUAAUUUGAAUUUUGACUCUUUCCUUUUUUUUUUUUUUGAUAGGUAAAAUUUUAUCCCCGUUGGGACUUAAACCUAGAACCCCCUACAAACCCUCCCCAACCCUUUACCACUAAAGCCAAGCCUAAAGAGCUAAUUUGAACUUUGAUAUUAAAAAUCCUUUUUUGCAUAGUGAUCAAGAGAUACCCCUCUAUAUCUUGAAACAUCCUUGUUGGCCGGCGUUUGUAACAUGCCCCUUAUCAGAAGAAGUUGGACAUGUAGAUAGUCAAUUGUCAAACACCCAAAAGGAAAAUAGAGCCAAGUUAGAGAACAGAAAAAGUCCAAGUGAAUUAGAAGUUCUCAAUUAAUCCAAAAAAAUUGAUAUCCAUUUUUAUAGUGAUUUUAUAGGGGUUUUUAGAAUGAGAGCCAGUUAGGUUAGACCCUAUAAGCCAAUAAGAUGGUUCUUUCUAGGCAUUUUGUUGGCAUUUUCGGAAGAUAAGGUCACACAAUGCUGGUUACCUCUCCCAAUCUGGUUGAAACAAGCUUGUCUUAAAAAACCUUUUUUGCAUAGUGAUCAAGAGAUACCCCUCUAUAUCUUGAAACAUUCUUGUUGGCCGGCAUUUGUAACAGGCCCUUUAUCGGAAGAAGUUGGACAUGUCGAUAGUGAAUUGUCAAAUAUCCAAAAGGAAAAUAGAGCCGAGUUAGAGAACAGAAAAAGUCCGAGUGAAUUAGAAGUUCUCAAUUAAUCCAAAAAAAUUGAUAUCCAUUUUUGUAGUGAUUUUAUAGGGGGUUUUAGAAUGAGAGCCAGUUAGGUUAGGCUAUAACCCUAUAAGCCAAUAAGAUGGUUCUUUCUAGGCGUUUUGUUGGCAUUUUCGGAAGUUAAGGUCACACAAUGCUGGUUACCUCUCCCAAUCUGGUUGAAACAAGCUUUGUCUGGCAGGCCUACAACUCUAACCACUAAACCAAAACCCUCAAACCAUGUACCCGAUGUUAGGUAGGUUGAGCCUAUUAUAAAAAAGUGCACAAAGCCCAUGUUAAACACAACUCAAGCAUAUGUGAAGCAUCAAAGCACUGUACUAUUAGCUUGAACAGUGAGAGGUAAUGACUUGCUCAAUAAUGAUGGAAACAUUAUUGAGCAAACACUCUUCUCAGAAAGGCGUGGAGGUAAUGAUUGAAACUAUCUCCUCUUUUUAUUAGGAUAAAAAGGGCCUAAGUGGAACCAAAAAGAGAAUGCAAGUUGUCACCUCUCAUCUCCCACCUUAACAUGCUGAGCAGUAAUUACAACUUCAUUCACCUCAUGAGAGAUCCAUUCUUAAAUGGGUAGAACUUCUCCCAGUGUCCAUCACAUAUAUUGAAAUCUUAUGGCCAGUCAAGAAGCUUUGACCUCAAUAUUACAUAACUACCAUUAUUUUAAUACAAGGAAACUAAGAGACAAUGACUACCAAAAGCCACAUGGAGAUGGAGUGAUAUCUUGCAAUCUAUCCAUAAUUGCCUGGAGUGGGACCACAUAUAGCAUGAGUCACGAUCUCUAGAUUGCAUAAAAUGUGUCUCGAUCUCUAGAUUGCAUAAAAUGUUUCACCAGUCCAAAACAUCAAAAUGG